rnacentral:rRNA from 1 species
CCUACGGGAGGCAGCAGUGAGGAAUAUUGGUCAAUGGCCGAGAGGCUGAACCAGCCAAGUCGCGUGAGGGAUGACGGCCCUACGGGUUGUAAACCUCUUUUGUCGGGGGGCAAAGAGAGUCACGUGUGGGCCAUUUAGAGUACCCGCAGCAAAAGAAUAGGCUAACUCCGUGCCAGCAGCCGCGGGACUAUGGAGGAUGCGAGCGGUAUCCGGAUUUUUGGGGUUAAAAGGGUGCGCAGGCGGAGGUGCAAGUCAGUGGUCAAAUUGCGGGGCUCAACCCCGUACUGCCGUUGAUACUGCAGCCCUUGAGUGCGCGAGAAGUAUGCGGAAUGCGUGGUGUAGCGGUGAAAUGCAUAGAUAGCACGCAGAACUCCGAUUGCGAAGGCAGCAUACCGGCGCGCAACUGACGCUCAUGCACGAAAGCGUGGGUAUCGAACAGGAUUAGAUACCCUGGUAGUC